AAAACAAAAGUCUCGCCCGACCAUUCAACAGCUGGUUGCGUCAGUGUGAAGAGCAGCUCCGUGGGGCUGUGACGAACAUUCGCGCGGUCCUCAAUCGACUCGUAACGAGCGCGAAAAUAAAUUUCCCUGGAAAUUUAAGACGCUAAUUUGUUUUAAAAUUGCACCUCAAGAGCUCUGACAAAAUUUCUGCAGCGCUCGCGUAAGCCCCGUGAUUUUUUCCUCGUUCACCAGAGCGGAGGCCCGGCCGGUUGUUUUGCCGGCGUCUGCGAAAUUCGCUCGCUGCCUGUGAGUUGCAUUCAGGAAAUGUGCAAUUUUAGCUUGAGAUAGGUUUUUUCGAACGCAUUCUUUUGGUUGUCGCCGAUUAGUUGAUUCUCGAGCGAUUUCGCUCUGGGCGAUGUGAGUAUGUUCGGUUUUGAUGGAGAUGAUCGUGGAACGCGCCGGCCGGCUUCCCGGAUUGGGAUGAGAGAUUCGUGAGGGCGCGGUUGGGGGGACCCGCUGGCCGGGCGGCGCGGGGGACCCGCGGGGUGGAUCCGCGGCAUGGCGUUCCGCCCCCGCCCCCAGACGAGGGCAGGGAUCUUGGGGCUGGUUCUCGGGCCUCGUCGCCCUCGGAGUCUACCUCAACACCCUCCAGGCCGGAUUCGUCUACGAUGACAGUCGAGCCGUCUUGGGAAACCCAGACCUACUGCCAACGACGCCGAUCCGAAACCUCUUCAAGAACGAUUACUGGGGCACGAGCCUGGAUUCGAACAGCUCCCACGGCUCCUACCGACCCCUGUGCGUGCUCAGCUACCGGCUCAACUACCAACUCUUCGGCUUUCAACCCUGGGCCUUCCACGGCACCAACAUCCUCCUCCACGCCCUCGCCACCUACCUCGUCUACCGAACCGUCAAGACCCUCUUCCUCCAGAAAAACAUAUCAAUCUCCACGAGUCUCCUCUUCGCCGUUCACCCGAUCCACACCGAAAACGUAGCAGGGAUCGUCGGUCGCGCGGACAUCCUAUCAUGCAUCUUCUUCCUCCUCUCAUUUCUGUUCUACCUGAAGCAAGUCAGAGUGCGCUAACCGCUGCAUAAAGAGCUUCGCGGACUCGCCGCGAGAGGGCGCGCGGAAGCGGUGGGCAGAGGGCGCGAGUUGCGCGACGAGGAACGAGUGUCUAAAGUGGUUCUGGCUCUGCAGCUCCCUCCUAAUGGCGGUCUGCUCCACCCUCUGCAAGGAAACGGGCAUUACGGUGCUGCUGGCCUGCAUCGGAUACGAGUUCAUCCAUUACUAUCAAUUUAGGAAAUUGCUGCCCUCCAUAAAGGUAAGACACGCCGCCUUUAAACGGGCGGCAUCGCUAUUCACGCUCGGAUUUUCUUCUGAAAGCCCUGCCGUUUCAUAAAAUAUAGAUGGGUGCGAA
rnacentral:lncRNA from 1 species